rnacentral:lncRNA from 1 species
AAUUGGUCAGGCUUCUUGCAGUCUGCAUUCAAAUAUGGGUGGGGUCAAGCUACAAAAGAUAGACCAGCUGGAAAUCCUGGAAGCUGAGUCAGGGAACUGUGCCUAGAGACUGGGAACAGACAAACACAAAACAAGUCAGCCCAUCCAGCAGUCCCUGUGGCACAGCCAGGAUAGUGAAUUGGAAUAGGAUGCAAUCUCUGAUGCCAAAAGAUUUUCAAUACUGAUUCCAAAGGGAAUUCAAGACCUACAUUUUUGUUAAGAGAUUUGAGGAUCCUUCACCCCAGAAAGACUCCACCCAGUCCAACAAGUUUUGAUGACACUUUUACCCUGCUGAAUGAGGCUGGUCUCAGUUUUCAUGAAGCUCUUCUGGAAUUUUUGGACAUAGACAACAGAGAUGGAGCAGCAGUGAGCUGUGGGUCUUGGAAAAAGGUUUUGUUUUUCAGAUGCUUCUAUCAAAGGCAAGAAUCUCUGAAUAAUGUGAAAUGGGGGAAUUUUAAGAAAUGGAAACAUAUUGGUUAUGAAGAAUGAAGCCCAGGGACAAGUGACUAUGUGGUCUUUGAGAAACAGUAGCAGCAGGAAAGAAGAAAAAGUCUGGCAGCUAAUUGGAUAAGAGGGCAAGACUAUAAUCAUCCUUAUUGUUGCUGCUUUGAAGUUGAAA